rnacentral:rRNA from 1 species
GACGAACGCUGGCGGCGUGCUUAACACAUGCAAGUCGAACGGAAAGGCCAGGAGUUUGUGGGGUGCUCGAGAGGCGAAGGGGUGAGUAAAACGUGAGUAACCUGCACUUGACUUAGGGAUAACUUCAGGAAACAGGGGCUAAUACAGGAGAGGAGAUCCUGCUGCAUGGGGGGGGUUGGAAAGUUUCGGCGGUGGUGGCUGGACUAGCGGCUUAUCAGCUUGAUGGUCGGGUAGGGGCGGACCAGGGCUUUGACGGGUAGCCGGCCUGAGAGCGUGGACGGCCUCAUUGCGCCUGCGAGACGGCGCAGUCUCCUACGUUCGGCAGCAGUCGAGAAUAUUGCGCAAUGGGCCGACGCCUGAUGCAGCAGCGCCGCGUGCGUGAUGCCCGCCUUCUGGUUGUAAACCGCUUUCGCCUUUGCCGUGGCGUGAUUGACGGUACUUGGUCAAGAAGCACCGGCUAACUACGUG